rnacentral:rRNA from 1 species
CCUACGGGAGGCAGCAGUGAGGGAUAUUGGUCAAUGGGGGAAACCCUGAACCAGCAACGCCGCGUGAGGGAAGACGGUUUUCGGAUUGUAAACCUCUGUCCUCGGAGAAGAGAAUGACGGUAGCAGAGGAGGAAGCUGCGGCUAACGACGUGCCCGCAGCCGCGGUAAUACGUCGGGAGCAAGCUUUAGCCGGAUUUACUGGGUGUAAAGGGGGCGCAGACGGCGAUGCAAGCCAGGAGUGAAAGCCCGGGGCCCAACCCCGGGACUGCUCUUGGAACUGCGUGGCUGGGGUGCAGGAGGGGCAGGCGGAAUUCCUGGUGUAGCGGUGACAUGCGUCGAUAUCAGGAGGAACCCCGGUGGCGAAGGCGGCCUGCUGGACUGCAACUGACGUUGAGGCCCGAACGCGUGGGGAGCAAACAGGAUUAGAUACCCUAGUAGUC